UACAGAGGGUGCAAGCGUUGUUCGGAAUUAUUGGGCGUAAAGCGCGUGUAGGCGGCUUUGCAAGUCGGGUGUGAAAGCCCUCAGCUCAACUGAGGAAGUGCGCCCGAAACUGCAGAGCUUGAGUGCCGGAGAGGGUAGCGGAAUUCCCCAAGUAGAGGUGAAAUUCGUAGAUAUGGGGAGGAACACCGGUGGCGAAGGCGGCUACCUGGACGGUGACUGACGCUGAGACGCGAAAGCGUGGGUAGCAAACAGG
rnacentral:rRNA from 1 species